CUCCCUUCUCACCCCAGUCCCCUCUCUCCCCUCUGUGGAUGCCCGUGGCUUCUACUAAUGGAGCAGAUGACAGUCACACAGCAACCAAGGCUGUCAGUCACUCGAGGCUCAGUGUCAGCUUUUGAAAAGGAGGAAGCGAGGGUCUCCAGCACAGGAAGUGAAGACGGCUUGAGGUCAAACGACGCCCCGGCAGCGACCGAUCCAAUGCUCACGCAGCCCGGCCUCGGCAUCACCACGACGACCGUCACCACCAUCACCCAGACGGGAGGAGACUGGAGCACUGGCCUGUUGAACGUCUGCGGGGACAAGACCACAUGUGUGCUCGGGGCUCUGGUGCCGUGCUGUUUGGACCUGACUUUGGCUCAUCAGUACGGAGAAUGUCUGUGCGUGCCACUGCUGCCCGGAUCCACUUUUGCCAUGCGGGUCGGGAUCAGGGAGCGGUACAAAAUACGGGGAAGUGUGUGUGAGGACUGGACCACGGUGUACUGCUGCUACCCUCUGGCUGUGUGUCAGAUGAUAAGAGAGAUGAAGCGGCGGAUGAAGACACAGACCUAUCAUGUGUCCACUGCCCUUGAAUGCUCGUGAAGAAACUCUAGCCAGUAACUGAGGCCCGUCCUUCUGCCACGCGGCGGGGACGGGUUCAGGGCCAACUGAGACGCACCGUAUGAAUAUCACAAAGGAUCAAUGACACAUGGCUUCAGAUGCCCUUGAGAAUGUCUCGGACAGUCAAUCGAGCCUAAGAGGCCUUAGAAGGAGGAACUUUUAUUGAACUUGAAGAGCAAAAAUAAAUGAGAUCUUCUUCAGUCUCUCUCCAGGGCCGAGAUGAAGUGAGGAAACACCUGAAAAACACCUUCCGCACCUUGAUGGACAAGUUGUUAAACUUGAAGGAAGUGACUCAACUGUAAGGACGGUUAACUACAAGUCAGACUGCUGCAUCUUAACGUCCAGCUUCACAUUUAAGUCCAAAUACGAGGAAAGCAGGAGAACCAACCGGGCAUUGCGUGCUGAGCCAGUGGAUCCUCAUUGAUUUGGAGAGCUGUUUUCUCAGUUGCGGCGUGUGGAAUGGAAACAACUGUGCGAGGAGCAUUCAGAAUGCAGAACCACUUGUCUGAUUACGCGGCAAACAGGCCGCAGCAUUAGUCUGAUCACAGCCGACAGCUCAAGUCCAUUUCCAUAUUUCCACAUUGAUAUUCUAUUAUCCCUCUUUUCUUCAGUUCACCUCAUUCAAUCAUAUUCCCGAAUCCCUGAUUUCUGUGGUUCCCUGAACCGUAGAAAGAGGCCGACCAGCGAGAACGAGGCUGCGAACGAGGGUCAUUUCUACACAGAAGCAGAUCCUCAAAGGGCCAAUGUGUCAUUCACGGAUGUGAUCUGCUUCAAAUGAAAUGAUGGAAGAAAGAAAAUGGAUCUUCCCCCCAA